GACGAACGCUGGUGGCGUGCUUAACACAUGCAAGUCGAACGGGAUUUAGUAAACAGAAGCCUCGGUGGAAGAUUACUAAUGAGAGUGGCGAACGGGUGAGUAACGCGUGAGCAACCUGCCUAUGACAGUGGGAUAGCCUCGGGAAACCGGGAUUAAUACCGCAUAAAAUCGUAGAAACACAUGUUUUAACGGUCAAAGAUUUAUCGGUCAUAGAUGGGCUCGCGUCUGAUUAGCUAGUUGGUGAGAUAACAGCCCACCAAGGCGACGAUCAGUAGCCGGUCUGAGAGGAUGAACGGCCACAUUGGAACUGAGACACGGUCCAAACUCCUACGGGAGGCAGCAGUGGGGAAUAUCGCACAAUGGGGGAAACCCUGAUGCAGCGACGCCGCGUGAACGAAGAAGGUAUUCGUAUCGUAAAGUUCUGUCCUAUGGGAAGAUAAUGACAGUACCAUAGAAGAAAGCUCCGGCUAAAUACGUG
rnacentral:rRNA from 1 species